rnacentral:rRNA from 1 species
AAAGUCGUAACAAGGUUUCCGUAGGUGAACCUGCGGAAGGAUCAUUAUUGAAAUAAUCCUGAUAAGUUGUUGCUGGUUCCCAUAAAGAACAUUGUGCACACUUGUCAUCUUUAUCUCUCCACCUGUGCACUUUCUGUAGACUUGGAUAACUCUCUUAAUGCUAGUACUUAAGGUCUGAGAAUUGACUUUUGUCUAUUCUUACAUGUCCAGGUCUAUGUUUAUUCAUAUACCCCCAAUGUAUGUUAUAGAAUGUAAUUGUUGGACCUUUGUGUCCAUAACAUUAUACAACUUUCAGCAACGGAUCUCUUGGCUCUCGCAUCGAUGAAGAACGCAGCGAAAUGCGAUAAGUAAUGUGAAUUGCAGAAUUCAGUGAAUCAUCGAAUCUUUGAACGCACCUUGCGCUCCUUGGUAUUCCGAGGAGCAUGCCUGUUUGAGUGUCAUUAAUAUAUAUAUCAACCUCGUCAAGCUUUUGCUUGUUGAGUGCUGGAUGUGGGGGGAAGCUCUUUUUUGCUGGUCUUUUAAAAAGGUCAGCUCCCCUAAAAUUUAUUAGCAGAACAAAUAUGCUGACCGUUCAUUGGUGUGAUAAUUAUCUACGCUAUUAAACGUGAAGCAGUUCGGCUUCUAAUAGUCCAUUGACUUGGACAAUUUCAUUAUUAAUGUGACCUCAAAUCACGUAGGACUACCCGCUGAACUUAAGCAUAUCAAUAAGCGGAGGAAGGACUACCCGCUGAACUUAAGCAUAUCAAUAAGCAGAGGGAAGGGACUACCCGCUUGAACUUA